GGGCCCCUUCGUCUCCCGGCGCGGCGGCGCGGGCUGAGGGGAGCGGGCCGCCUGCCGUCGCCCUCCCGCUCCCUCCUUCUCCGUUGGAGGAAGGUGCAGAGCAUGGAGAAUGAUGAACUUCCGCCAGAGGAUGGGAUGGAUUGGUGUGGGGUUGUACUUGUUAGCAAGUGCUGCAGCUUUUUAUUACGUCUUUGAAAUCAAUGAGACUUACAACAAACUAGCACUGGAGCACAUUCAGCAACACCCCAAGGAACCACAGGAAGGAACCACAUGGAUGCACUCCUUAAAAGUACGACUGCUAUCCUUGCCUUUUUGGCUGUGGACUAUAAUAUUUUUAAUACCAUAUUUACAGAUGUUCUUGUUCCUCUAUUCCUGUACAAGAGCUGACCCCAAAACUGUUGGGUAUUGCAUCAUUCCUAUCUGCUUGGCUGUUAUUUGCAAUCGUCAUCAAACAUUUGUGAAGGCCUCAAAUCAGAUCAGUAGAUUACAACUGAUUGACACUUAGCUCAAUUUCUACUUUCUGUAGCUGUUUUGAAGCAAUUGCAUAUGCCUGAUCUAAUCACAAGACUGAAGUUCUGAGUGAAGGCUGGAAAAAGCCUUUUCUUUCAAACUGUUAAGCAAUGAAAAGAGUGACUGUUUUCUAUUUAAAAAAAAAAAGAAAAAAA